AGCAGGAAUGAGGACGAAGCAAAGACAGAAGGGGAGGUCCUCUGAGAAAAGUCAGCUCACUUUAAUAAGCUUUCCAAGGAGCUCCAGCCAAAUGCUCCCCCCUCCACCUCAGUGCCACUGCCAUCAUCUAUGGAGUCUAUGAGGUGCCGUUUUCAGCUGGGCACAUUGCUGCCCUUGAUAAUGGGGGUUCUGUUUCUAAGGAAGUUUGGGAGAUUGUGCUGCUGGCGCUGGCGGUCACCCUUCUCUUGGCCCUCAGAUGUCAGUGUCACUGCUCAUCCUAGACACCUAAAGUUCAGUCUUCUCAUUUGACAGUCUUUCUGUUAUUGUCUCCAUUUCUUUCCGAUCUCUCAAACCUUUCAUUAUUCAAUAGGCAACUGUGACCAUUCACCCUGAUAUGUCAUUUUAAUGGAUUAGGAAAUGCCUGGCAGCUUUGUAAAGCAGGUUCCUGGGUGUCUGGUGAGUCACAGAGGCCUGACGCUGGGUCAUCCCUUCCCCUCUGGCACUGGUCCCCUGCUCUGCUCCCUGGCCAACAUGAACCAGCAGCUUUGCUCUGCACACCCUUCUGCCAUGAUGUUUCCGCCCAAGAACCAGCUGACCAUGGACUGAUUCCUCUGAAAGCAAACCUGCAGAAAGACUUCCCGAAUAGGAAAACCCACCAGAGCUGCAGUUUUCAGACUGGGUGGCAAAAUCAGUGGGACAAGGAGCAUUAGGAAAGGAAGAAGAAAGGAAAGAAGGAAGAAGCUGGAACAAAAGAGAAUGCAACGAUACCACCUAGGAGAAUCGGGAUUCUUUCCUGAAACUCGAAUCAUAAAAAGAAUACGGUGUGUUGUACAUUUGGAAUCGAGGUGUUGAAUACACGUCUUACUCGGGUUGCUGUCAAAAAAUGUUUGAAAGCCACUGGCCUGGACUUUUUCUUUUUCUUUCUUUUGAAUGCUUAGAGUAGAAAGGUUUGAAAAGCCAUCUAAUUUAUUUCUCUACGCCUAGACAGUAUUUCAUUUUAAGAACAGUACAGACUUUAAUUAUUUUCUUGCUUAUCGUCCCAUCUCAGCAUUUGCGCCUGAUGAUUUGUGAAUAAUUUGUCUCUUUAAAGCUAUUAUUUCAGUUGGGAAAGCGAUAAAUUAAAAUAGGAAGGCAAUUCUGCCAAGCUUCCCUUCUCUGUCUCCUCUUCUCCCCGUCAUCAGGCCGUGGACACAUUCCAAAUGCGCUGCGGGCCAAGCCUGGCAGGGUCCCCGAGCCCGCCUUCUGUCGCCCUGUCCUGUAAUCAAAUACCCCAGUGGAGCUACGGGUGGUUGUUUUGUAUUGAGGAUUGAACCCAGGGCCUUUGCACUGAAUUACUUACACCCUCAGCCCUUUUUAGUUUUCAUUUUGAGACAGGGUCUUGCCAAAUUGCCUGGCUGGGACUCCAACUUGCAGUCUUUCUGCCUCAGCCUCCCAGAGUGCAGAGCAUACAGGCUUAUACCACCACACCUUUUGUUUGUUUGUUCUUUGGUAUUAGGGAAUUGAACUCAGGACCUUGCACUUGCGAAGCAGGGCAGUACCACUGAGCUAAGUCCCCUAAGUCCCCGGCUUAAUGUUCCUUUUUUGAGUUCAAGUUCCACUAUGAAGUUCAACUUGGCCUUGAACUUGCUAUUGUACCUAGGCUGUCCUUGAACUCUCUAUCCUCCUGCUUCAGCCUCCCAAGGCAUAGGAAUACAGGUAUAUACCACCACCUCUGGCAAAUUUUAGUAUUUCUUUAUCUCAUUCCCUCUUUUUACUUAUUUUUUAAAAAAUUAUCCCCAUGGAUAGGUAAUAGAAACACCUGAUGUACUUGAAUUUGACUUUGUCCCUUCUCAGUAGGGUAGGUCCCUGUUGUGCUAAUCAGGG
rnacentral:lncRNA from 1 species